GACAGAGGAUGCAAGCGUUAUCCGGAAUGAUUGGGCGUAAAGCGUCUGUAGGUGGCUUUUUAAGUCCGCCGUCAAAUCCCAGGGCUCAACCCUGGACAGGCGGUGGAAACUACCAAGCUGGAGUACGGUAGGGGCAGAGGGAAUUUCCAGUGGAGCGGUGAAAUGCGUAGAGAUUGGAAAGAACACCAAUGGCGAAAGCAACUUUACUGGGCUAUCACUACACUGAGAGACGAAAAGCUAGGGUAGCAAAAUGGG
rnacentral:rRNA from 1 species